AGGGGGAGAAGGGGAGGUCGGAGGAGAGCAUCCUUGUGAGGGUCUUGAGCCCAGCCAGCAAAUUAAGAGUGUCCCCAUGAUUAGGGGCUAUACUAAGAUUAGACCCUUUCCUUCUUCCAGGGCUGGUCAUCCACACCUCCUUACCUUCCUUUUCUAGGUAAUGACCUGACCACAAGACUACAGAACACAUUUGGACAAAGCCUUACUUAUUAUUAAAGGACUUCCAUGAACUGAUAUUUUCUUUCAAGAAAGGAUCUUAUGGACCAGGAAGGCCUGGACUUGAUUACUUUUUUCCUCCAGAAAUCUCUGGUGAAAACAAAUUUAUAUACUCCAUUAAUGUUUUCCCAUGGUAGACUGUUUUCACAAAGAAUGAUGGUUAGCUUUCCCCUUAUGGUAGAACUUUAAGAUUUUUUCAGGGCCAUUAGGUCACUGCUACUUCCUCUUUGUGAACACCCUGUCUUCUCCCUAAAGAAUACCUGAGUGUAGAAAUCCUGUAGGUCCCCCAGGAAAAGCCCACUUCCUGAAUUAAGCCAGGUUUCAAGAACAAGCAACUUUCUAUUCAAUAGUUUUAUUCUUUUUAGUUUUAGUUUUUAUUCUUGGGCCUGGGAAAAUAUUAAGAUAAUUAUUGAGAGGAAAGGCUUUGAUCUGGAAAUGGUUCUGAGAAACGGCAGGGCAGAUUUCUCUCUUUGGACAAUAAAAAAACAACAGAAGGCAAAGAAUGCAGAAGGACCAACUCUUCCAAGCUAAAGACCUUGGAAAAAAGAUCUCAGCCGUUUACACUUUGGAAGAAACUGGACCAGAGAAAGAAAGUAAUUUCUCAAGAUCACCCUGUUAUUUCAUGGCAGAUCCCAAUUCAUUGUUCUUCCCAUUGCACCAUGCUACUUCCUGUGUUAUGGCCAAAACCUGUUUCCCUUCCUCCCCUCCCCUCCCUUUCAAAUCUAUCUGUUCUGCCUAAACCUGGAAUUUAGAUUUUCUGUUUCUGUCUGGCCCUUGCUUGAUGUUGUGGGCAGAAUCUGUGGAGAUAGUAAACUAAAUCCUGAUGAUAAUAUGAAAUGCAAAGGCAUCCACUGCAUUUAGGGAGAACCCAGGAAAAUCUAUGCAGCAUUAUUCUAGGGCAAAGGGCCAUUUGGAUUCUUUCAGAGAGAAUUGGAUUCUUCUGAGUAAGAUCUGUGUGCAGGGUUGGAGCACAUCAUAGGAAAACCAGGCACUUGCCCUGUGUCUUGUAAAGUAACAAGAAUUCAGAACUUUUCUUGUGAUGGAGAAGAAAAUUAAGCAACAAGAGUCCAGAAUUCUGUGGAACUUGGUCUGGUGAUCUGGCACCAUUGAAAACUGCUUGAUCUAUUUUAUGCAAGCUGCUCAUGACCCCUUCUUUAAAAUUUAUUUGGAAAGCAGAAUUCACAGGAUUUACCUCUAUAAAAUAUAAGAAAAAAAAAAACCUUUUGUAAACUUUAUCAGUAUCAAUAACACAGUAUCAAUAAAUAAUAAUGACCAUAGCUAACAUUUAUGCAGUGUUUUAUCAUGUAUUUAUCAAGUGUAGCAUACCAUGCUAAGGGCUUUACAAUUCUCUCAUUCUUAACAAUAACCUUGUAAACUAGGUGCUAUUAUUAUCCCCAUUUUACAAAUGAGAAAAUUAA